AUGAAAGAACUGCUUUUUUUUUCCUAUUUUUCUUUUUGUAUGUGUGUUAUAGAUGGAUCUGAGAACGCUGUCUGGGCUUGGUGCCAAGGGCUGGUAUUUCACAGCAGCGACCGCCUCACAGACGAGCUGUGGGAAGCAGGAGGGAGACUCUCUCUUAGGGUGCCACUACUAUGGAGACACAGCUGGGCUGAACAAGAUUUGCUUCAAACGACAACAAGAGAGACAGAAAGUAUCUGGUUCAACCGCUGCCCGAGCAGGCAGGCACCAGAAGAGCUAGCAGCCAAUCCGGCCAUGCUCGAAGCCAGCUCUGCAGCUCAGCCAAUCAGUGACAUCACUGAGGACUGUUUUUCUUCAAUCCUUAAGGAUUCAGCUUCUUACAUGGGUUUUGCCGGAGGUCAUGGGGAAGUACCAAGAGGUCUAAAUCAUGCUUUCUUUAGCUUGCCCAUGGUGAUGUGA
rnacentral:lncRNA from 1 species